UACGGAGGGUGCGAGCGUUAUCCGGAUUCACUGGGCUUAAAGGGUGCGUAGGUGGGAAUGUAAGUCAGUGGUGAAAUCUCCGGGCUUAACACGGAAACUGCCAUUGAUACUAUGUUUCUUGAAUUUUCUGGAGGUUAGCGGAAUAUGUCAUGUAGCGGUGAAAUGCUUAGAUAUGACAUAGAACACCGAUUGCGAAGGCAGCUAACUACAGGGAUAUUGACACUGAGGCACGAAAGCGUGGGGAUCAAACAGG
rnacentral:rRNA from 1 species